ACGCUCGACACCUACGGGGAGGCGGCAGUGGGGAAUAUUGCACAAUGGGGGAAACCCGUGAUGCAGCGACGCCGCGUGGAGGAAGAAGGUCUUCGGAUUGUAAACUCCUGUUGUUGGGGAAAAAGAAGGAUGGUACCCAACAAGGAAGUGACGGCUAACUACGUGUCANCACGCCGGACGGUAAUUCUGGAGGCGGGCGUGGACGAAGGC
rnacentral:rRNA from 1 species